rnacentral:tRNA from 1 species
AUGGGUAUGCUGGAAUUAGGAAAACAGGAUGGUUUUAGGAACCAUUGAUUUAAUAUCUUGUCGGUUCAAGUCCGACUACCUUUA